AUCCUUACACUUAUCACCAAAUCUAUUUCCUUUAAACCCAGGUUGGAUUUAGCUGCUUGUGCUGUGUCUCCAUGUUUAGCAAGAGCAUCUUGCUGACGGUUCCUGAGGCUGAUUGUUGCUGCAGCCCCUUGCAGUGGGUGCUCACAAGAGCAGGUCGUGGAUGCGCUGAACACAGACGAGUUCAUCCCUCCUCUCCCCAUCUGUCCUCUGAACAGAGAAGACCGGAGAUAACUCAGAUGAAAAGGAGUCAAUUAUGUGGUGCCUGGGAUACUAGAAGUCUGGACUUUAUGACCCAGGAAGUUUCUCUCUGCACCAUGCUCCCAAUUUGUUGGAUUUUUUUUUCUUUAAUAUCAACAAAUAAAAUAACAUAUCCUGGAUACUCUGCAGUCAACAACAUUCACUUUAUUGGCAGUAACUGGCUUGGAAGCUACUAUAUCUCCAGGACUUUUCCAUUUAAAAAUAAAUAUAUAUUUUUAUUUAUAUAUAUAUAUAUAUAUCAUAUUUUUUUACAUCAGUUAGGAGGCUUUUUUUUUUUUUUUUUUUUUUGCUUUUCAUCAGAAUUUGGAUGUUUGCUGACACUGGAUAUUUGAACAACUUCUGAAAUGAAUCCAAGCCAGGAAUUUUCCAUUUCCCAAUCUGUGAAGAGCAUGGUAUUUUAGAAAUACCACUGAUACAAACAGGAGAAGAAUUAGGUCAGCAAUAAGUCCUUGGGAGCUCCCAGCCAGUGGCUGCUAGGACUGUCAAGCUCUUCUUCCUAAAGAUUAGAUUUAUUCCUGACUUAGGGAGGUGGACAAAUAUCUCCUUGGACAAUCCUGACUUGGACAAAUAUCUCCUACUAGCAUGAUUGCAAUGCUUAAGUCUUCUCUCCUGAACAACUUUCUGUCUAAAAUGGCAAGCAGCCAAGCAAUAAUGGCCGUGCUUAUGAGGCUUUUGAAUUUUUAUUAGUGUUUUAAAGUUGAACAGAAGCUUACAAAUUUCAGUAUUAGAAUGUAUUGAGAAGCAGGCUUGGAGUAAAGUCACCAUCCUUUUUGACUGAGUCUUAGGACAGUAGGUGUGAGGGAUAUUGUAAGGGUGAGAGCGUGACUCGUUGAAAAAUACUGGAAAAUCGUUCUACUUCUG